AGGAGGGUCUGGCUGUGGCGUCUGAUACCACUUGAAUGGCCAAGGUUAAGGCAGCUGAUCUGUCCAGCUAGGGAGAUGUCCUCUUUCUCCCUUCCU
rnacentral:sRNA from 1 species